GGCGAUAGUAUCGAUUAUAUCAAUAUUUUUCUACAAAAUAAUCGAUAAUUUCAAUCGACGUUAUAGAAUUAAUUGAUAUAUCAAGAUGGAUUUUUAAUGACAUCAAUGUUGUUGCAUAAUAUUACACUAUAUAUAUUCUGUAUCCAACUUUUAGGGCUGUUAGAAUUCUCAUCUAAGUAUCAGUUUAUCCUUAUUGUUCACCGAUUGUUAAAUAAGGUUAGCAUAACUCCUGAGGAAUAUUCGGAUGGGAAUAUUCCUCAGGUGAACGUGCCGUAAAAGACAUACUAGUUCUUUUUGUUUUGAGUAAUGAGAUUGACACAACUCAUAGUAGAAUUGUUAUGGUUGCAUAACUGACGUUGCCAAUAAUGCCAAUCAUCAUUUUUCGGGACAAAACUGUAAUGUAAAUAACAAAUCAAAACUUUCAUUUCAUCUGUUAUAUACCGUGUUUAUGCGUUAUGCAGUGUUAGGGCCAUGACACA